rnacentral:rRNA from 1 species
CGAGGAAUAUUGGUCAAUGGGCGAGAGCCUGAACCAGCCAAAUCGCGUGAAGGAAGACUGCCUUAUGGGUUGUAAACUUCUUUUAUACAGGAAUAAAAAAGGGGACGUGUCCCUUAUUGCAUGUACUGUAUGAAUAAGCAUCGGCUAACUCCGUGCCAGCAGCCGCGGUAAUACGGAGGAUGCGAGCGUUAUCCGGAUUUAUUGGGUUUAAAGGGUGCGCAGGCGGGCUUUUAAGUCAGCGGUGAAAUCUCGGGGCUUAACUCCGAAACUGCCGUUGAAACUGGGAGUCUUGAGUAUGGAUGAAGUAGGCGGAAUUCGUUGUGUAGCGGUGACAUGCUUAGAUAUAACGAGGAACUCCGAUUGCGUAGGCAGCUUACUAAGCCAUAACUGACGCUCAAGCACGAAAGCGUGGGGAUCAAAACAGGAUUAGAUACCCUGGUAGUCCACGCCGUAAACGAUGAUUACUAGUUGUAUGCGAUAUACCGUAUGUGACUAAGCGAAAGCGAUAAGUAAUCCACCUGGGGAGUACGCCGGCAACGGUGAAACUCAAAGGAAUUGACGGGGUCAUAGCUGUUUCCUG